rnacentral:rRNA from 1 species
AGUGAACGCUGGCGGCAGGCCUAACACAUGCAAGUCGAACGGUAACAGGAAGAAGCUUGCUUCUUUGCUGACGAGUGGCGGACGGGUGAGUAAUGUCUGGGAAACUGCCUGAUGGAGGGGGAUAACUACUGGAAACGGUAGCUAAUACCGCAUAACGUCGCAAGACCAAAGAGGGGGACCUUCGGGCCUCUUGCCAUCGGAUGUGCCCAGAUGGGAUUAGCUAGUAGGUGGGGUAACGGCUCACCUAGGCGACGAUCCCUAGCUGGUCUGAGAGGAUGACCAGCCACACUGGAACUGAGACACGGUCCAGACUCCUACGGGAGGCAGCAGUGGGGAAUAUUGCACAAUGGGCGCAAGCCUGAUGCAGCCAUGCCGCGUGUAUGAAGAAGG